rnacentral:lncRNA from 1 species
CUGACUUGUAAGCGAGCACUGGGAAGCAGUCUGCACGGGGGACCCUGUCUCUCUGCUGGAAGGAAAGCCAGGAGGAUGUGCGCCUGUCUUGGCAGCUGCCAUCUCACCGCUGUGAGAGAAGCUGCUGAGAGUGGAGGUGCAGCAAGUAGAGCCCAGAGAUGGGAAGAAAGAGACUGGCUCCUGCUGGGUCUAACCGGACCCCUGUGGAUCAAACCACAUCUGAUUCUCCUUAUGAGCCCUGCAGUGCACUGCCCAGAUGCCCUGGGAGGGCUGGUGCAUUUUGGUGUGCCCCCCUCCCAGCAGCAGUGUGCCUUUGUCUCCAACUGCAACCCCUGCAGCCUGCCCUCUGGCUAUGGGUCCAGCAGCUUUGCCCACACAGGAGCAGCCAGGAAGGCCAGGCAGUUUGCUCCCUUCCUCCUCCCACAUGGUGGCACUGAUGACAGGUGUCCCAGCUCCUUUGCCUCCAAUGGGCUCUAACAACUUACACCCCGGAGCUCCCUGCAGGACCAAGCUGAGGCUGCCCCCAGCAGGACAUUGCCUGAAACUGCUACCCUGGCUUUGCUUCCUGCAAACAUCCCUG